UCCAGACUCCUACGGGAGGCAGCAGUGAGGAAUAUUGGUCAAUGGGCGGGAGCCUGAACCAGCCAAGUCGCGUGAGGGACGACGGUCCUAUGGAUUGUAAACCUCUUUUGUCGGGGAACAAAGGCGUCCACGGGUGGGCGGAUGAGUGUACCCGAAGAAAAAGCAUCGGCUAACUCCGUGCCAGCAGCCGCGGUAAUACGGAGGAUGCGAGCGUUAUCCGGAUUUAUUGGGUUUAAAGGGUGCGUAGGCGGACAGUCAAGUCAGCGGUAAAAAUGCGGUGCUCAACGCCGUACAGCCGUUGAAACUGGCAGUCUCGAGUUGGAGAGAAGUAUGCGGAAUGCGCGGUGUAGCGGUGAAAUGCAUAGAUAUCGCGCAGAACUCCGAUUGCGAAGGCAGCAUGCCGGCUCCACACUGACGCUGAGGCACGAAAGCGUGGGUAUCGAACAGGAUUAGAUACCCCCGUAAAC
rnacentral:rRNA from 1 species